GUAGUCAUAUGCUUGUCUCAAAGAUUAAGCCAUGCAUGUCUAAGCACAAGCCGAUUAAUGGUGAAGCCGCGAAUGGCUCAUUACAACAGCCACUGUUUACUUGAUCUUGACUAUCCUACUUGGAUAACUGAGGUAAUUCUAGAGCUAAUACACGCAAAAAAGCUCCGACCUUACGGGACGAGCGCAUUUAUUAGACCAAAACCAAUCGGGCUUCGGCCUGAAACGUUGGUGACUCUGAAUAACUGAGCUGAUCGCAUGGUCUCGUACCGGCGACGUAUCAUUCAAGUGUCUACCUUAUCAACUUUCGAUGGUAGUUUAUGUGCCUACCAUGGUUGUUACGGGUAACGGAGAAUAAGGGUUCGACUCCGGAGAGGGAGCCUGAGAAACGGCUACCACAUCCAAGGAAGGCAGCAGGCGCGCGAAUUACCCAAUCUCGACACGGGGAGGUAGUGACAAUAAAUAACAAUAUAGGGCUCUUAUGGGUCUUAUAAUUGGAAUGGGUACAAUUUAAAUCCCUUAACGAGGAACAAUUGGAGGACAAGUCUGGUGCCAGCAGCC
rnacentral:rRNA from 1 species